rnacentral:lncRNA from 1 species
AUGCAGGAAAUGAUUGCAGAAGACGGAAUGUGUCACGACAUUCCAGGGAAAACAGUUCAGGCCGGAGACCGGGACGCUUUCCUCCUGGGGGGGGGGGGGGGAGGGGCUUUCGUUCCUGCAGCUGGCGAGCAGCUUGAGCUGGAACCAAGUGUUCAAGAGCUUUCGGGAGUUCUCUGCCAGCACAUCUGGCCGGAGCCAUCAGCGAAACCCGCGGAGAAGCGCAUUUCACGUCUGCACUGCGGGAGUUGGGGGGGUGGUCUUCUGCCUCCGCGAGCCCAGCUGCCUUCAGGAAGCCUCCACACAGCACCUGCUCGGUGCCCUUCACCCCGGCGCCCCCAAGCCCAAGGCGUCGGCCCCUGCGGGGCACUCGGCAUUCAGAAAGGACAGCGCGUCCCUCCACCUGCACUCAGGGCAUGCCUAGCUGUCGUCUCCACUGGGUUGGAAGCUGCUUGCUCCUUUUCCUCACGGCCCAGCUGCCUGGUAUAGGAGGUCUGAGAGAGGCCUGCGGAAUCACUCAUCCUCACGAACUCUGGGCUUUCUGAAAAGGGCUUUUGGUUUUCACCUCCUAGUAAGAGGAGGUUUUGUUCGUGUUCUUUAUUUGUUUCCAUGUUAUUCGCUUCAUUUUGUUUGAAAGGCAGAAAGAGGAGAGAGAGAGAGGGAGAGGGAGGGAGGGAGAGGGAGAGGGAGAGGGAGAGGGAGAGGGAGAGGGAGAGGGAGAGGGAGAGGGAGGGAGAGACCUUCGAUCUGCUGGUUAACACCUGCCUCCACCCCAACACACCCAGUAGCUGGGGCUGGACCAGGACAAAGCCAGGAGCCUGGAACCCUAUCUGCGUCUCCUCUGUGGGUGGCAGGGGCCCAAGGACUUGAGCCAUCACCUGCUCCUCCCAGGAUGCCCAACAGCAGAGCCUGAGCUUCUGGUGUCGGAUGCUGGCCUCUAAAGAAGCAUCUUCAUGCUCGUUCCUCAUGUUGCAUUCUAAAGUUGCACUGUGUAUUUGUUUACUGUAAAAAGAUCAUAUAUUAGAGAUUGGGCAAACUGGAUCUUGGAAAUCACCAGAUUUAUCCAAAUUUAGGCACCAAGUAAACGGCGAACCUUUGACCAUCGUUCAGCCACGUAAUGGCAGUUGUGAGCCCAUGGCAGGACGCAGGACGCGGAACUGCUCAUGGCUGAGAACCUAGGAACUGGAGAAGCAGCCACAGGGGCCCUAACUGCUGAGCCCCGGAUCUCCCUUAUUAAAGUAGUCAAGUAGGCAGACAUACAGGCUAAAACUGAUUAGGCUUGUGAGCUGCAAGACCACGCCUUCACCACGCCCCUGUGUGACCUCAUGCCCUUACCUGGCCACACCUGGGUGCCCACCAGCCAAUCAGGUUAAUUAACCACUCCCCUUUGGAAGUGGGUUAAAAGCCUGAAACAGGAUGUGUCCCACCCUUCUCUUUCCCUGGCCUCUUCCCAGGAGGGGACUGGCGGUAGCCCUGCACCUCCAGGGCAUGUGGUCUUCGGGCCACCCACCCUAGGCUUCCUGGCCUAGAUGCGCCUCCACGUGGCUGGUUCCUGGUGCUCGAUAUGAACCCAGAUUUACCCCUCUCUCUCUCUUAGAUAAAGCUCUCACUCUUCUAUGCAUCUUUCUCACUAAAUAAAGGCUUAAAAUAUAUCA